rnacentral:rRNA from 1 species
UAGUCCACGCCGUAAACGAUGUCUACUAGCCGUUGGGGUACUUGAGACCUUAGUGGCGCAGCUAACGCACUAAGUAGACCGCCUGGGGAGUACGGCCGCAAGGUUAAAACUCAAUGGAAUUGACGGGGACCCGCACAAGCGGUGAAGCAUGUGGUUUAAUUCGAUGCAACGCGAAGAACCUUACCUGCCCUUGACAUUGACAGAACCCUUUAGAGAUAGAGGGGUGCCUUCGGGCCUGGAAAACAGGUGCUGCAUGGCUGUCGUCAGCUCGUGUCGUGAGAUGUUGGGUUAAGUCCCGCAACGAGCGCAACCCUUAUCCUUAGUUGCCAGCGGUUCGGCCGGGAACUCUAGGGAGACUGCCAGCGACAAGCUGGAGGAAGGCGGGGACGACGUCAAGUCAUCAUGGCCCUUAUGGGCAGGGCUACACACGUGCUACAAUGGCCGGUACAGAGGGCCGCAAACCCGCGAGGGGGAGCCGAAUCCCAGAAAGCCGGUCGUAGUCCGGAUCGGAGUCUGCAACUCGACUCCG